rnacentral:rRNA from 1 species
GACGAACCGUGCGAACGUUGUUCGGAUUCACUGGGCUUAAAGGGCGCGUAGGCGGGCGACCAAGUCCGGGGUGAAAUCUUUCGGCUCAACCGGAAGAGUGCCUUGGAUACUGGUUGCCUCGAGGGAGGUAGGGGCAUGCGGAACUUCCGGUGGAGCGGUGAAAUGCGUAGAUAUCAAGCGGAACACCAGUGGCGAAGGCGAGUCCCUGGACAACUCCUGACACUGAGGCACGAAAGCUAGGGGAGCAAACAGG